rnacentral:rRNA from 1 species
GACGAACGCUGGCGGCAUGCUUAACACAUGCAAGUCGAACGGGAACUCCCGGCUUUGUGGGGGUCGGGUGGUUACGACCUGGGAAGUAACACUUGGGUUACCUGCCCUUGACUGUGGGAUGACUUCAUGAAGCUGGAUCUAAUAGCGGCUAGGAGCUCUUGCUUUUUGGUGGGGGUGGGAUGGUUUCGGCGGUUGGUGAUGGACUGGCGGCUUAUCAGCUUGUUGGUUGGGUAGUGUAUUAGCAAGGCUUUGACCAGUAGCCGGCCUGAGAGGGUGAGAGGCCAAAUUGGGAUUGAGAUAAGGCACGGACUACUACGCGAGGCAGCAGUGCAGAAUAGUGCACAAUGGGCGGAAGCCUGAUGCAGCACCGCAGCGUGCGGGAUGACGGCCAUCGGGUUGUAAUCCGCUUUCGCCUGUCACGAAGCGUGAGUGACGGUAAUGGGUAAAGAAGCACCGGCUAACUACGUG